AGCUUGCACAGUGGCAGUAUCAUAGCCAGUGAGGUUUAUCCAAGGUGUGAUUAUUGCUAAUUGAAAAAGAGGGAAGUAGUUAUUUCUGUCUUGUAGAGAUUUUUUUUUAUUUGUUUUUGAGAUACAG
rnacentral:snRNA from 13 species